CUAAACGACUCUCGGCAACGGAUAUCUCGGCUCUCGCAUCGAUGAAGAACGUAGCGAAAUGCGAUACUUGGUGUGAAUUGCAGAAUCCCGUGAACCAUCGAGUCUUUGAACCCAAGUUGCGCCCGAAGCCAUUAGGUUGAGGGCACGUCUGCCUGGGCGUCUCA
rnacentral:rRNA from 1 species